rnacentral:rRNA from 1 species
GAUGAACGCUGGCGGCAUGCCUAAUACAUGCAAGUCGAACGAGAGGAAGGAAAGCUUGCUUUUCUGAAUCUAGUGGCGAACGGGUGAGUAACACGUAGGUAACCUGCCCAUGUGCCCGGGAUAACUUCUGGAAACGGAUGCUAAAACCGGAUAGGUAGCAGACAAGCAUUUGACUGCUAUUAAAGUGGCUAAGGCCAUGAACAUGGAUGGACCUGCGGUGCAUUAGAUAGUUGGUGAGGUAACGGCCCACCAAGGCGACGAUGCAUAGCCGGCCUAGGAGGUGGGACGGCCACAUUGGGACUGAGACACGGCCCAAACUCCUACGGGAGGCAGCAGUAGGGAAUUUUCGUCAAUGGUGGGAACCCUGAACGAGCAAUGCCGCGUGAGUGAGGAAGGUCUUCGGAUCGUAAAGCUCUGUUGUAAGAGAAAAACGACAUUCAUAGGGAAUGAUGAGUGAGUGAUGGUAUCUUACCAGAAAGUCACGGCUAACUACGUGCCAGCCGCCGCGGUAACAC